rnacentral:lncRNA from 1 species
CAAGAUAAUAAACAAAAACAGCAAAAUUUCCUUAAAAUUACCAAUUCAGGGGCAGCAACCCAACAACAGGUUGUCUGAUUCAUCUGAAAAUUUCAGGGCAGAUAGAUCUUGACCUGAUAAACAAUAUUACCCCAUGUCAGAUUUGCUCUAAAUGCUUUGGUUUUUGAGUUAUAAGCCAAAAACUGCAUUUGACCCCUAUGUUCUAUUUUUAGCAAUGGCGACCAUGUUUGUUGAUAGAUCAUAACUUCAGAUACAAUUUACAAACUAGAUACCCUAAGGAACAUUCAAUUAAAGUUUGGAAGUAUUUGGCCCAGUAGUUUCAGAGGAGAAGAUUCUUGAAAUAGUUUACGACGACAGACGACGACAGACGACGGACGACGACGGACGCCAAGUGAUGGCAUAAGCUCACUUGUCCCUUCGGGACAGGUGAGCUAAAAAGGGU